GGUUUCUACUGAAGAUGUGUGGGCUGCUCACCGGACUGCUGAGGCCUCGACUGGCUUCUCUCCCGAGGGCACGAGUCAUGAUUCAACAAAAAGCAACUUACAUCCACAGCAAACCGCCUAAACACAAAGUCGGUGCACUGGAGUCUAUGUUCGUGCUGACUGUGAUGAUGCUGACAGUGAUGGUGCCCUCUGGAUGGGUACUGGCGAACCUGGAGGACUACAAAACCCGGAAGUGAGGAAUGCGGCCUUGAAAGCAUCGUCUUUACCCGUGAAAGCCACGUGUUUGCUGUUAUGUGUCAUUUGAACCUUUUGAGGGACGUGAUGUUAAUACAAUAAACUCAAGUUUCUCAAUUUAA